rnacentral:ncRNA from 1 species
CGUUCGGGUUUUCCCGAAGUUGUCUGGGGUUCCAUGACUAGGCUAGCGUUUGCAAUCAAAAAAUCAUGAGUUUGUCCCAUCUAUGUGUUCUAUUGUUAGUGGUGGUACCUUUAAACAUAAAUGGUCAAUUUCAUGAGUAUUUAUUUAUUUAUUAUAAUGAUAUUUGAUGGUAUUUAUAAAAAUUUAUAAACGAUGCCAGCUAGCAAUUGGGUGUAGCUACUUUUAUGGCUCCCUCAGUCGCUUCCCGGGAAACCAAAGCUUUUGGGCUCCGGGGGAAGUAUGGUUGCAAAGCUGAAACUUAAAGGAAUUGACGGAGGGGCACCACCAGGAGUGGAGCCUGCGGCUUAAAUUGACUCAACACGGGAAAACUUACCAGGUCCGAACAUAAGUGUGUAAGACAGAUUGAUAGCUCUUUCUCGAAUCUAUGGGUGGUGUGAAAUGGCCGUUCUUAGUUCCUAGAGGAAGUAAAAGUCGUAACAAGGUUUCCGUAGGUGAACCUGCGGAUGGAUCAUUA